GAUGAACGCUGGCGGCGUGCCUAAUACAUGCAAGUCGAGCGAACAGACGAGGAGCUUGCUCCUCUGACGUUAGCGGCGGACGGGUGAGUAACACGUGGAUAACCUACCUAUAAGACUGGGAUAACUUCGGGAAACCGGAGCUAAUACCGGAUAAUAUAUUGAACCGCAUGGUUCAAUAGUGAAAGACGGUUUUGCUGUCACUUAUAGAUGGAUCCGCGCCGCAUUAGCUAGUUGGUAGGGUAACGGCUUACCAAGGCGACGAUGCGUAGCCGACCUGAGAGGGUGAUCGCCCACACUGGAACUGAGACGCGGUCCAGACUCCUACGGGAGGCAGCAGUAGGGAAUCUUCCGCAAUGGGCGAAAGCCUGACGGAGCAACGCCGCGUGAGUGAUGAAGGUCUUCGGAUCGUAAAACUCUGUUAUUAGGGAAGAACAAAUGUGUAAGUAACUAUGCACGUCUUGACGGUACCUAAUCAGAAAGCCACGGCUAACUACGUG
rnacentral:rRNA from 1 species